CGUCAUUGACGCUCCCUCUCCAGCAUGGCUACCAUGAUUUCUGCAAAAUGCAUAAUAAAUCCCUGAAUAGACGCGUUGGUGUGAAACACAACACAACCAGCAUACUGAGAGCGCGAGAGAUCUCCGAAGGCACCGGUAGCGCGCGAGCAUGCCCUCUGACGUACCGGCUCCGUCUGUAUGGGAAGUGGUGAGCGUGCUGGGCAGAGCGUUGUGCGCAUGCGCGGCUCUCACUGCCGCUCUCUACCUGAUCCGCAGAGUGUGUUUAAUAAUGGCCUGGAAAUCAGGAGGAGCCAGCCAAGCGGAGCUCGUCAACAACCUCCGCAAGAAUGGCAUCAUUAAGUCGGACCGCGUGUAUGAAGUCAUGCUUAGCACAGACCGAGCCCAUUUCUCCAGAUGUAACCCUUAUAUGGAUUCUCCACAGUCUAUAGGAUACCAGGCAACCAUCAGUGCACCACAUAUGCAUGCAUAUGCACUAGAGUUGUUACAUGAUCAGUUACAUGAAGGUGCCAAAGCUCUGGAUGUGGGAUCAGGCAGCGGCAUCCUGUCCGUCUGCUUCGCCAGAAUGGUGGGGCCAAAGGGAAAAGUCAUUGGGAUUGACCACAUAAAGGAACUGGUGGACGACUCCAUCAACAACGUUAAGAAAGAUGACCCAACACUGAUCUCAUCAGGACGCAUCAAACUUCUCGUUGGAGAUGGCAGGUUGGGCUAUCCGGAGGAGGCUCCCUACGACGCGAUACAUGUAGGAGCUGCAGCUCCUUCUGUUCCACAGGCUUUACUGGACCAGCUGAAGCCUGGCGGACGUCUUAUCCUGCCUGUCGGACCAGCUGGAGGGAACCAGAUGCUGGAGCAGCAUGACAAGUUGGAGGACGGCAGCACCAAAAUGAAGCCCCUAAUGGGGGUGAUUUACGUGCCUUUAACAGACAAAGACAAGCAGUGGUCCAGGUGGAAGUGACUUCCUGUCCCUCUCUUCCCCCUCCCUCCUUUCCCCAGGGAACAGGUGAAAUGGUGUGGUCUGGAGCAAGACAAAGGCUGCUUUUGCUGGAUGAACUCUAAAACAACAGUCUGGCAAUAUUCACCAUCACACACACACACACACACACACACACACACAGCAUCCAUCUGGAUUUAACAACUAACCACAAGAUGGUAAACAGAUGACGAAGAAAAGCCACACUCUCUGCACUCUCGCUCUCGGGACAGUCUGACUGCUGUGUGGACAUAGAGCCUUCAGGAUGGAAGAAAUGAAACGGACUGCUUAAAAAAAAAAAAAAAACUCAAUGAGGGGCUUUGUCUUGACAUUUUCAUGCCUGCAAUUUGCUUUGGAUUUGUGAAUUUUUUUUAUUUUUUUGUUGAUUUGCAGGUGCACCUUCUUUUGUGAGAACUACAGUAUUGCAGCUGUUUUUUUUUGUUUGUUUGUUUGUUUUUUUUUGCGAUUGUUUACAUGCAUUUCAGGUUGUUUGGAGCUGGUGCUGUUUCUCAUUUGGACUAUAGGAAUGGGAGUGAUAUUAAAGGAUAAGUCCACACUGUUCUCUGCUCAUGUUAAAGGGGUGCUGCUAAACCAUGCUGAAUGCAUCAUUAUUAAUAUCAUUAAUAUAUAUAUAUAUAUUUUUUUUUUUUUUUGUCUUAAGACAUCUUAAGUUAAAAUUUUGGAAUUUUAGCUGGGAUUUUUUUUUUUCAAAUCCAAGGCUGCGACUGAGAUGAGAUUGAAGACUUUUCAGGACCCCGUUUCAAGAUUAAAACGCUUUCCUUUUUUGCUAAUUAGCUACAGAAAAAUCAGACAAUUAUUUAAAUUAAAAAAAAAACACUAAUAUAAUAAAUGAAAAUAUAAAGAUUGACCAGUCACAUUAUUAUGCUUCCAUAUGCAAUAUAAAAGCGGUACACUGAAAAGUAGUCCACUUUCUUUGUGCAUUUUGAGAUGACUUACUUAGGAACAGUUGUACAGUUCCUGAGCCUCCAUUCAGAUUCCACAGCUGCAGUACAGUUUAGCGUAGAUUUGCUCAGGCUGGUGUGCUACCAAUUAACACUUUGCUGAUUAACAAGAGCUUGUUGCUAACGCCACUCUAGAGCGAUUGCUUACAUUUGCGCUGUCUAACAUUCUCCAAAGGUUCACGCAAAAUGCAGCAAGCACACACGUGAACUAUCGCUCUCUUUCUCUCUCUGUUUCUCUGUCUCACUCACACACAGCACUGAGCUUGUGUCCCUUUCACUGUGGACAUGCUGGCUGUCACCAUGCUGAUUGUGACACACAUGUGGCUUUGUACAAAUAAAAACCCAACACAGUGCAAAUCA